UACUAGAGUAGCACUCGCAUAUCAAUAAGCGGAGGAAAAGAAACUAACAAGGAUUCCCCUAGUAGCGGCGAGUGAAGCGGGAAGAGCUCAAAUUUGAAAUCUUAAAGGGUUUCCCUUUACGAAUUGUAGUUUAAAGAAGUGUUUUCUGUUGAGGUUUUGGUAAAAGUUCUUUGGAAUAGGACAUCAUAGAGGGUGAGAAUCCCGUAUUUGACCUUUACUUUCAACUUUGUGAUACACUUUCAAAGAGUCGGAUUGUUUGGGAAUGCAGUCCAAAAUGGGUGGUAAAUUUCAUCUAAAGCUAAAUAUUGGCGAGAGACCGAUAGCGAACAAGUACCGUGAGGGAAAGAUGAAAAGAACUUUGAAAAGAGAGUUAAACAGUACGUGAAAUUGUCAAAAGGGAAGCGUUUGACACCAGUGUUGUUCUUCUGAAAAUCAAUUAAAGAACUGUUUAUGCUAAGCUGUUUAGACUUUAUCAGCUAUCUGUUUAGUUUUGAGCUUUUCUUUAAUGCACUUUUCAGUUAACAAGUCAACAUCAAUUUCUUUUGCUGUAAAAAAGCUUGAGGAAGGUGGCUUGAGAUUCGUCUUAAGUGUUUAUAGCCUCUUGCCUAUGCAGUCGGAGAGAUUGAGGUCUGCAGCGUAGAUCCUUCGGGGCUAAAUGCAUUUGUGCUAAGUUAUAGCAUUUUAUAGACAACUUGUUGACUAUGAUUUGUCUUGUAGCUUACUCGCUUAUGUUAUUUUACCUACGCUUAGGAUGUUGAUCUCUCACAGUCGAGC
rnacentral:rRNA from 1 species